rnacentral:rRNA from 1 species
GAUGAACGCUAGCGGCAGGCUUAAUACAUGCAAGUCGAACGGGAUUCGAGGUAGCAAUACUUUGAUGAGAGUGGCGCACGGGUGCGUAACGCGUAUGCAACCUACCUUUAACAGGUGAAUAGCCCCGAGAAAUCGGGAUUAAUACACCGUAACAUUGCGCUGUGGCAUCACAGUGCAAUUAAAGAUUUAUCGGUUAAAGAUGGGCAUGCGUGACAUUAGCUAGUUGGUGAGGUAACGGCUCACCAAGGCAACGAUGUCUAGGGGUCCUGAGAGGGUUAUCCCCCACACUGGUACUGAGACACGGACCAGACUCCUACGGGAGGCAGCAGUAAGGAAUAUUGGUCAAUGGGCGCAAGCCUGAACCAGCCAUGCCGCGUGCAGGAAGACGGCCCUAUGGGUUGUAAACUGCUUUUGUCAGGGAAUAAACCUUUGUACGUGUACAGAGCUGAAGGUACCUGAAGAAUAAGCAUCGGGCUAACUCCGUAGCCCGAAG